AUUAUGAUAAGUAUUAAGUGUAAACUUAAUAAAUAUAAAGAUAUGGUUCUAUCUUUGUAUAACAUUAAAGUCUGCUUUUAUUGUGAGAAGAUCGAGAAGACUAGGCAGUUCAUCAACUUCACUUUGAGCGAAUUAAGCGGACUUAAUAAAUGUUCAUAUGUAUGGCAUUUUCUCAUGAUCAUUACCGUGCUAUUGUCCAGUGUAUGUCUCGUAUUAGAAUCUUCCUGGAACUUAAUCAAAUGGAGUUUAAGAAAUAACAAUUUUUUUUUAAAAGCCGAGAUUUUUUUUUUCUCCAUAUUUGUUGUGGAUUAUUUCGGUCGUUUUAUGACCUCAAGUCAACCAUUAAUUUUUUUUUUCGAUCUAUAUAAUUUAUCUGAUUUCCUCUCGUUCGUACCUUUUAUUAUUUCCUUCAAAUAUAAGAGAGCUGGGGAGCUCGGUCCUAAAGGUAAACAAAGCUUUUAUUUUAAUUAAAAAGGGCUUGCUUCCCUGUGAAGAUCUACUUUAAUAUAUUAUUUACUACUGCUAUAUUAGAACUGAGAUAUGUAAACUUAUUACGACUUUUGCGGCUUUUUGACCUCUUUAAAUAUGCAAAGCAUUCCAACAUACUUCGGAUUCUUUUAAAGUCCCUAAAAAUUGCUUUAAAAGGUAUAUCUAUCACUUAUCUUUUUAGUGCGAUCCCUGAUCCUAUACUCACCCAAGAUCCCCUCAUUAACAUAACGUAGGUGUUUUGUUUUUACUGAUAUUUAUAGCAAUAUACACGGUGUUUUUCUCUACACUUAUUUAUUAUGCUGAGACGGUCUCCUGCACUAGAGGUUUUCAAAUGCUAAUAAAUAUUAAGUGAUCGUGAGUUACGCGAAUACAGACCCUAUUACUGGCCUUUACAUCCACUCUGAAGGGAAGCUAAAAGGUCAACCUACCGACUUUCAAGAUAUUCCAGCUUCGCUUUGGUGGUGCAUCGUUACGCUUACAACGGUAGGAUACGGGGAUCUCACGCCUAGAACGACUCUAGGAAAGAUAAUAGCUUCCAUCACCAUGGUCACAGCGUUGGUAGCCGUUGCCCUACCCGUGACCAUCCUUUCUGCAGUCUUUUCGCAGGAGUCUGAAGAAUAUUUGGAGGUACGCACUCGAAAGUUACUUUCAGAGGCGUCUGGAGAUCUACUGUUCUCAAACGUUUGUCUGAGCCCUCAGUUAAAAAGGGCAAAAGUUAUGUUCAAUAGAAAAGCAGAAAAAACUAGUGAGGGCGGCUUAAGUUGUAUACUGUCGCCAGAAAGCUCCUUGAAUAUAAGAGAAGAGUUCUUUUCUUGCUACACCAAGGCCAAUAGAGAGUAGAAUAUACAAUUUUUAGAUUGAACUCGAAGAUUAAUGCCUUAGAGAGGGAAUUAGAAUUUUUAAGAAAGCUCAAGUUCGUAUUGGAAACUGAAGUCUUAUGAAUCUUAUAAAUAAAAAAAGGGAGUUUCACCGUACUUCAAAGCUGUUUUAUGUUAUAAAAUAGCGCUUA